UUCACUGGCUACUGGUGGGAGCGUCAAUGAGGGCAAGUGUUCUGACGCUGCUCAUUUAAGGGUUUAGAAGCGCGCGGGCCCACUGACCUCUACCUUCACUCCCAGGAAUCCCUCCUGAGGAAAGAGUCCGGGGUAUUCAUCCCAGCAGUCUCUGUAAUGGGGACAGUUGGCUUCAAGCUAAGAGGCUAACAUCGGGACCCCAGGAACAAUGAUGAUGUAGCCACACCAAGGAAUAUGCCAAGGUCCCAAAAGCAAGGUGAAGAAGUAAAUUUGAUGAGGGAAGACUGUCACCAUACAUCAUGGAGUGGAAAAAGCUAGCCACAAACUAUUCGGCCUAGACGAGAGAUCUCACCGGAGCCCAACCACGCUGGCACCCUGGUCUCCGACUUCCAGCCUCCAGAGCUGUGAGAAAGCUUAUUGGUUCCUGCUGCUACCACUCCCAGCUGCUGGCCCAGGAAGCUGACCACAGAUGUGCAGAUUAGUGUGUCUUGGCACAAAGCUCAGCUGUCCCAGCCCCC